ensembl:lncRNA
CACAAAUCUCUAAGUGCUUGUCUGCUGUAAAUGUUUUUAUAAAUACUGUCGUUUAUAACAGAACAUUUUAAGUGAAGACAUAAAAAGGACAGCAGAAGUAGAAGCACAGCGGAAGAUGUGGUUCUCAGGGGAACGUCUCAGACUGUCUCAAAGCCUCAGUGUUCAUAAGUUUUAAUCCUUUUUCAUCUAAAAUUGAACUCAAAAGGAGAUAUGUUCGAACGUUUCUGUCUCAGUGACAUCAUCGGCUUUAAGGAGAACUCUAUCUGUGUCGUCAUCUGUCUCAUCUCUAUCUGGAAUCAUCUCAAACAUGCACUGUGCAAAAAGAUUAACUCGGGAACAACUGCGUGUUAAUCAGAUUUAUUUUAAAGACAACAUUUUUAUCAACAUAACGUCAGGUGACGGUAACACAGCAGAAAUAUUCUGACUUUCUUAAAGUUUUAUGUUCAAACUGAUUUAAAAACACCUGCAACAUUUGAUCUAAAAUCCUCAAUAUUCCACUAAAGAUUUAACCAUCUCACAUCAUCUCACAGAGAGAGAGAGAGAGAGAGUCACGCAGUUGAGCAGUUGGAGCAUUACAGAGUGUGAAGAAGGAUGAGAGACAGUGAGAACAUUGAACCCUUACUAAGUGUUUAAAACCGAGACAUGCAUUCUUCACCAUCACUCCAUUCUGUCUUUCACACUGAGAGUCACACUGAGAGUCUGUCCAUCCCGGAAUCCCCCACUUUCUCCACACUUCCUGUCCUACAUUUGUAAAUGACCCCUUCAGUGAUUCAUUUACAUUUGUAAACGACUCCUUCACUGAUUCUGUUAUAAAUGUAAAUGACUCCUUCAGUGAUUCAGUUACAUUUGUAAACGACUCCUUCACUGAUUCUGUUAUAAAUGUAAAUGACUCCUUCAGUGAUUCUGUUAUAAAUGUAAAUGACUCCUUCAGUGAUUCUGUUAUAAAUGUAAAUGACUCCUCCUUUAAUUUGUAAAUAACUCAAAGUACUGGUCAGUGGAUCCUAAAAUGAUUCACUUACACACUUACACUCCUUACACUUGACUCCUCAGAAAUGUAACUGUAUUUGUAAAUGACUGCCUAUGUAGGGAUCAAACGCCGGUAUUGGAACACAAUGACUGUAAGCCAUUCCAUGUUCUGCCUGGAUUCUUCUCUUCUUUCUCCACUCUUCGCUCUCUUUCGCUCUCUCUCGCUCUGCUGGAUGUGGUGAUUAAGCUGAUGGACGAUGUUAGUAUACAGGAAGUCUCACACUGCGUGUCUGGUGUAGAGCCUACAGGGACGUGACUGGGGCACAGUGGAGGGGGGUCUGACACACACACACACACACACAACACUCACACUCGUAACACUCUUGAAGCCUUUCAACUCCAACUGAGAACAGCGGGAAGUGAACAGAGUUGACGGAGCGCAAAGAGAGACAGAGAGAGAGAGACAGACAGAGAGAGAGAGACAGACAGACAGAGAGAGAGAGAGAGAGAGAGAGAGAAUAUUCUGGUAAUUAAUAUAAUGCAGUGCACUGUGUGAGUCUAAGUAGGUGAAUUGAAUUCAGAGUUCUCGAGUCUAGAGGGGUGCCAAGAACCAUUUUUUUUGUUUGUUUUUGGUUCCUACAAACAUCUUGUUCCCUUUCAAAGGGAACUCCCAGUUCAGAGGUGUGCUCACCACAGUAGCCAGCACAGAGCAGAACCCGACGUUAGCGCAGGAAUAGGAUCCCUCUUGGACAAAGGGGCCAUAGAACACGUUCCCCGUUCACUGAUUGAGGGAGGCUUUUACAGCCGUUAUUUCCUGGUCCGCAAAAAAAAUGGGAGCAUGCGGCCAAUUUUAGAUCUGCGUCAGCUGAACAGUACUCUUCGGACAUAUGGGUUCAAGAUGCUGACACUCAAACGUAUCAUUCCGCAGAUUCAGUUGAAGGACCGGUUUGUGACGAUAGAUCUAAAAAGACGCAUAUUUCUACACAGAAAUGCUGCCCUGUCACACACAGGAAGUUUCUAAGGGUCUGUGGGUCUGUGGGUCUAUUCGGGUCCAGCUAUCUAGCGCUAGCGCAUCAUCCGCGCUCAAGUGCCGACUUUUUGUCUCGUGGUGCGAGGAACUCCUCAUUCUUUUCUCAGGGAACAGGGUAACCCAGUCGAUUUGUUUCUCUGUGCCACAGAAAGCUGCAAAAAAGAAUAAAUUCCCACUGUGAAUGAGAUGAUCUUUUCUGAGCAACAGCCACACACACAAAAAAAGAUGUCAGAAGAAUUCUACACUAAAACGUUCUUUCGGCGACAAAAACCACUUCUUUUGUGAAUACUGGCAGUUCAGUGGUGUUGAGCGUGACCCUGACCAGGAUAAAGUGCUUACUGAAGAUGAAUAAAUGAAUAAAUAAAAAUCUGGUUGAAAUAUGGCCUUUUCGAAGCGCAUCGUGGACUGAAUUCAUGCCACGGUUAUUCAGAGAGCGCUUCCUACUGAGGACCUUUCUUUAUUUAGAGUUCAAUAAAUAUCUAACAAAGGUAGGCAGAAACACCGAGUAAAGAGAUCAGAUCAGUGGGCUAUUAGUCAUGUGCAGGUAUAAAGCAGUGGAGCGUUCGCACUAUGAAUAUUUAAACCUGUGGUUUUUAUCAAGAAAGAUGGGCGCCAUUAGUGAAGAACGAAUCAGUUAAGGAUGUGUUUAUUGUUUAUCCGCGCUACAUGUGCAGGAACUGUCAUCCAGGCCGUUCUGAAGAGGGGGAAUUACAGACACUGAAACAUACAUGCGAACAGUUCCACUAGACAAAACUCUCUAGUUUUUAAACUCGACUUGUAGAGAUACUACAAGAGAUGUGCGGGGGUUUUUUUUUGUGUAUCCCUGACAGUCGUGACAGAAUGUUAGCUUGUUAGUGGGAACAUCACUGCCACAACAAUCCAGCAUCUGCUACUGUAAGUGUCUGAUCAUGAAGGAGGAGCAUUAGACAGAUACAGACAGGUACCUUGUCCAUGACAGAGUUAUAGUAUUUUCUAGAACUCCUAUAUGUUCCAGUAGGAUUUUUCCCCCUCAGAUCUCCUCACUGCGUUCUCUUUUAUACUUUUAGUUUCAGGCAGAAACAAACGAACAUCUCAAGGCCUCCCGGGAGGUCUGGCUGAAGCGCGUGCUCAUGGGGAUUGGGUAAGGAGAGGAGAGCGUUUGGCAGGGCUGACGUUCCUGUCUGGCUCUGUGGGGUUUCGUCUCGCUCCAUCUCACUCUCCUCUCUCCGUCUUUCCUGUUGUGUUUCUCCCUCUGGAGCCUAAGCACAGAUCUGAGAGGAACUCUCCGUGGAAAAGCCAGACUCUGCUGUAGAGGCGAGCGUUACAUGCAGGAGGAUACAAUGCACUUCAAAAGAAAUAAAGAGGAAAUAUUUGUCAAGUUGUAAGUAGGGAGACCCUCCUCCAGGGUUAGUCCUAGCCUAGCAUCCUCGAGCGUUAGAGAAUACAAGGAGAAAGGGAGUUCUUAUCAUGAUGGAACAGGAAAUGCUUCUAUCCGAGUUCUCCAUGAAAAGAGCAGGUGAGACGCUGAGAGACAGACCGACUUAAACAAUAGUCUUGAGUUUAACCGAGUUAGGUUUUAACAUUUUAGAACCUUUAAGGGUGCUUUGAGGGAACCCUUAACGAUUCCCCUUCAAAAACCCUUGAAGAACGCUUGAAGAACCCAUUUGUGUAAGAGCGUGUGUGUUAAGUGGGUGACGGUUAGGGUUACAAACUCCAAGUUACUGCUCAUUAUUUUCUAUUUAACACCUGGAACCUUAGAAAAAAAGGUUCUUCAAAGGUUUUUAAAGGUCCAUUAGAUAAUGAAUGGUUCUUCUAAAAGGGUUCUACAGCAC